AUCAACCAUCGAUGAAGCAUGAAGUUUCCAAGUGCAUUUUGGAUUAACACAACAACAAGUAUACUUAACACCAUCAUUUUUAAUCCUAUUUAACUCAAAACCCUCUUGGAUUGCAUAUUUCACCAUAACCUCUUUUAAUAAUGCAACAGAUUCAAAGGUAUUUCCUACUUUUAGACUAACUGAACCAUUUAGAUUUGGUUUCCACUCAUUAUCAACAAUGGAUUCAUACAUAUGUAAGAGACCAUUCUCUUCAUCAGAUAAGUGCCCUCCGAUAAAGCCAUCCUCACUAAGUUUUUCAAACUUAUCACUACCCAUACUAACACCUAUAUUGACAGGAUUUUCAGAUCCUAAUACAACACUUUCAUGGCAUGAUUGACCACCUAACCCAGUGUGCACCUCAAACUCAAUAACAUGACAACUAUUAGUAAAAAAUUCCUCAAAAACCGAAUACAAUUCACUAUCAUUUGAUAUUAGCUUCCUCUGCCUACUUGUAGUCCAUGGCAACACA
rnacentral:lncRNA from 1 species